rnacentral:ncRNA from 2 species
ACAAGAAUCUGCCAAUCAGGUGCCAGAAACGAUCUUCUAUCUUUCUGGAUAAACGGGAAUCAGGUGCGUGGCGCAAUGCCACCAUGCCUGGGCUGCCCCCGCAACGGUAA